GUUUGAUCCUGGCUCAGAAUCAACGCUGGCGGCGUGCCUAACACAUGCAAGUCGAACGCGAAAGGGGAGCAAUCCCUGAGUAAAGUGGCGACCGGGUGAGUAACACGUGACUAACCUACCCUCGAGUGUGGAAUAACAUCGGGAAACCGAUGCUAAUACCGCAUAACAUCGCAAGAUCAAAGGAGCAAUCCGCUUGAGGAGGGGGUCGCGGCUGAUUAGCUAGUUGGCGGGGUAACGGCCCACCAAGGCGAAGAUCGGUAGCCGGCCUGAGAGGGCGCACGGCCACACUGGAACUGAAACACGGUCCAGACUCCUACGGGAGGCAGCAGUGGGGAAUUUUGCGCAAUGGGGGAAACCCUGACGCAGCAACGCCGCGUGGAGGAUGAAGCCCCUUGGGGCGUAAA
rnacentral:rRNA from 1 species